AAUAAACCAAUUUUUUACUUUUUAUCUAUAAUUUUUGACUCUUCGUCUUAUUUAAUUUUUUUACGAUUGAUAUUUUUUUAUUAGAUGAUAAAUUAUGAAUAGUACUUUACUUGUGACUAAUUUUUUUUCUAAUUUUAUAAAAAAAAUUUAAAUAAUACGGAUGAUCAAAUGUUGGACAGAAACCGAAG
rnacentral:pre_miRNA from 1 species